GAGUUUAAGCUAUGGCUGCGGAGGUUUGACACGGACCGUGACGGUCGUAUAAGCCGCAGCGAACUCCGCCGCGCAAUCCGUGCGAUCGGAGGACGUUUCAGCUCAUGGAAGAGUGGCCGCGGGAUUAAGCAGGCAGACUCAGAUGGUGACGGCUUCAUUGACGAGGAUGAGAUUGAUAACCUUGUGGAGUUUGCGCAGAAGAGCCUGGGACUGAAGAUCGCCGCCUACUAGCGAGCUCCGUGCUCGAAGCUGGCCUGAACCUCUUCGAUGCAGUAUGGGGGUAGCAUGUGGGGGUUUACUGUCUUUCUGGGCU
rnacentral:misc_RNA from 1 species